rnacentral:rRNA from 1 species
UACGUAGGGGGCGAGCGUUGUCCGGAUUCAUUGGGCGUAAAGAGCUCGUAGGCGGUUCGGCAAGUCGGGUGUGAAAACUCCAGGCUCAACCUGGAGACGCCACCCGAUACUGCUGUGACUCGAGUCCGGUAGGGGACCACGGAAUUCCUGGUGUAGCGGUGAAAUGCGCAGAUAUCAGGAGGAACACCGGUGGCGAAGGCAGAUCUCUGGGCCGUAACUGACGCUGAGGAGCGAAAGCAUGGGGAGCGAACAGG